AACUUCCUUGUCUUGGGGAGCAUAGUGUACAGUGAUCGUAAAGUGAGGACACUGAUGCUGACACCCAUACAUUUAUAUGUAGCCCGCGCCCGGCUGCCGUAAGGGAGUCCGAGCGCAAUUUUUGACAGG